AGAGUUUGAUCAUGGCUCAGGAUGAACGCUAGCUACAGGCUUAACACAUGCAAGUCGAGGGGAAACGAUAUUGGAAGCUUGCUUCCGAUAGGCGUCGACCGGCGCACGGGUGAGUAACGCGUAUCCAACCUGCCCACCACUUGGGGAUAACCUUGCGAAAGUAAGACUAAUACCCAAUGACGUCUCUAGAAGACAUCUGAAGGAGAUUAAAGAUUUAUCGGUGAUGGAUGGGGAUGCGUCUGAUUAGCUUGUUGGCGGGGUAACGGCCACCAAGGCGACGAUCAGUAGGGGUUCUGAGAGGAAGGUCCCCCANAUUGGAACUGAGACACAGUCCAAACUCCUACGGGAGGCA
rnacentral:rRNA from 1 species